UUUGCUUCUCGGCUCUUUGAGCUAGGAUCAAGCGUAGUACCUGUUCUUAUCAGUUUAAAGCAACUGGUUAUAAUAAGUUACACAAUCUUAAUAUGUGGUGCUACCCAGCUUCACCUACAAUAAUCUAACUCUUAAAAGAUGAUUGGGAAGAGUCUUGUCAUGUAGUGCUAUACUGUCAGACUCGAGAACUUAAU
ensembl:snRNA U2 U2 spliceosomal RNA